rnacentral:lncRNA from 1 species
AUUUUAAUUGUUUAUUAAAAAUUUGAAACUUAAUCAUUAAGUUACGUUUUCACAUAAAAAGAUUUAUAAUUUUAAAUUUUGCAAAAAUGACUCAUGUUUGUUUGAAAUCGAUAAAAAGGGUGGGUGUUACUGUAAUGGAUAAUUCAUUGGCUGAAUUUGAGAGAGGCAACCACCACCCUUUGGAUGAAAAAUCCUCAACUCCUCAUUCAUUCCCUUGCGAGCUUUUUGUUUUUUGCAUCUCAACUCUCGAUUACAUUUUCCUUCAUACCUAAAUAUAACAAAAAAAGCCAAGCUGAUUGAGGCUCAGAGCUCAGGCAACAAGAGAUUCCAACCAUGCCAUGGCUGCAAAAGCCACCUCCAAGAUAUGGGUUGGAUUAAUCAGCUCACAUUGGCAAAAAUCAAUUAUUCUCAGCACCAUUGCUUCCAGUGGCAACAAUCAAUGAUCCAGCGGAAGCAUUAAAAAGGAGAUGGAAAAAAGACUUGGAAACCCAUUUACUUCCUCUGUUUAGUGAGAGGUUUGUUGGGAUUCUUACAAUAAUGGAGAAAUCAUUGACUGGAUGAAUGCAGAGAGAGGCAACCACCCUUUCAACGAAAAUCCCUGUUAGCCUCAUUCUUAUAGUACCCUGAGGCUGGUAAUACUACCCCUCAGUUUAAAUUGACGAAGAGAAGCUCAGAUCUGUGUUGAACAAGAGUAUAAAGAGAGUCCAACCACGCCAUGGCUGCAAAAACCAGCAUGCCCCGCCAAGAUACAGGUCGGAUAACCUCCAAUGCUCAAUUAAUCAGCUCAGAAGGGAAUAAAAGUUACAAAAAUCAUCAUCGCCUCUUCCUAGCCAUCCGAAGCAAUAAAAUCAACUGUUAGAGGAAAUAUAAUUGAAGAAGAAGAUGGAUUUAAGGCGUGAAGAAUCGCUUUCCUUAAAAGAGAUAUUGCACGUGUACAUAUUGGGAAAAUACUAGCAACUGCCUUCAAGAUACAACAAAGUCCUUAUAUAUACAUGCAUAUUUUUCUCUUUGGCCUACUUCUGGAGAGUGUUUAUAUUUAUAAACCUUAAGAGAUCGACUUUUCAUAACAGUCAUGAACAAAAAAUGUAUCUGUUCAAUUUAAGGCCUCUAUAUAUUGCAAAAUAUCCAACAACAUACCCAGUAUAGUUUCAUUUUUCUCUUUUUGCAAAUUAUAUCAAAAACAACUUUUCUCCAACUCCAAAUAAGUUACUUUUAUACCAAUUUUUCCAACUGAACAUAUGGUCUCACUUGGCUAUAGAAGUUGUGAACAUUAUCAGCAAAAAACAGUAAAGAGAUUUCACUUUUGUUUGAAUCUCUAUGUUGCACCGGCCAUCUCUGUCUUUCUCUGCUUAGAUACCAAGCUUCAUAAUUCAAAUCUGUGGCAUGCAUCGUACUCACCAACUGUUGCACUCUUAUCCCUAAACAAAAGGGAUAUUUCAAACUGGCAACAUGCACCCCUAUUACACAUCAAUUGUUGUACUAAUGCUGCAGGACCAAAGCCUCUAAGCCAUGGGUGGGAUGUAUUCAUAAAAACAGUAAAGGUUUAUGGUUGAACACAUUUGAAACAACAAAGAGGAACUUUUCAAAUAUAUAAUCGUCCAAUCAAGAGUGAUGGAUAGUGUAGCCAAGUGAGAAACAGCUGGUUACAACCAUAUAUUAGCUCAUCAACUAGAAUUGUUCCAAGCUUGUCCAAGUAUGAUAUUGGCAACAGGGAAAAAGAGGAGAUCAACAAAGACAGAGCCCCUUGGCAAAGUUGCCUUGUUUUGCAAUUCUUUUUUGCAUAUAUCAAACAAUUACCUAUUUUCAAACUUAAAUACAUAAAAAUACAACUACUAUAACAAUAUUUUUAGGUUAGUAGUGACAACAUAGAGCUAAAUAGAGGCCUCAUCUAUCAGAGUAACUAUGACAUAAAGCGUCAUUUGGAUGUUAAUCCAUGGCUUACUUGAGUUACUCAUCAUUUAGGAUGAAUUGCUACAUGAACAGCAUAAACAAAUUGAUUGAAGGAGAUCAGUAUGAAUUAUCAAGACUACUAACAAGUAUGCUUUCUUGUGAAGAUCAUUAUCAAUGAAAGAGAAACCCUAAAAGAUAAUACAUAGCAAAAACAAGAAACUCACGCAGUGAAACUUCUUUUAGAUAAGUAAUUGUGACAAGAUAGUGCUAAUAGAGGUCUCAUCUAUCAGAGUAACUAUGACAAAAGAAGCUUCAUUUGGAUGUUAACCCAUGGCUUACUGGAAUUACUCAUCAUUUAGGAUGAAAUAUUUCAGGCAUAAAAGUAAACAAAUUGAAUAGAAGGAUAACUCCUAACAUAAUACAUAACAUAGAACAGAAAGUAUCACAUCUUGUACAGAUAAUACAUAAGCAGGAACAAGAACCUGACAAAAUGAAGCAUAAAAUCAACUAGUGAAACUUUCUUCAGUAGUCUAGUCAAUAGAGGUCAUCUAUCAGAGUAACUAUGACAAAAAGCUUCAUUUGGAUGUUAAUCCAUGGCUCGCUUAAAUUACUCAUCAUUUAGGAUUGAGUUCCCUUCAUGCACAGAAUAGACUAGAACUAUUGACUUUCGGUUUUGGUAAUUAGGUCAAUCACUAGUGUUUCCAAAAAAGACCACGGAAAAAAUCUCAAGAAUUAGUGGUAUCCACAAAGCAAGCAACAACUGCAAAAUUUGCAUAAACUAUAAAAAUGAUCUUACUCCCAUAUAAUUUAUAAAUACACUGUCCUGCUCAAAAAAGAUUUAUGAUUUGGCUUAUAUUCUAACAACACAAACUGUAGUGCUCCUGCAUAAAUUGAUGCAUGUUAAAAAAUGAACAAUUGACGAAAUUAUGAACUUUCACCUAUAAGAAAACUAAAGCAUAUCAGCAACAAAGUAACUCAAAAAUACAUGUUAGUACUCAAAUGCCUAGGUUUCUAGACAAAGUGAAACACAUUUGGGCACAGGCUUUGUGAUUACUAUACAGAGUUCAUAAACAGAGAAAACAAGGGAUGACAUUAAGGCACACUUAUCUCAGAGAAAGAGCUUUCCUAUUCAUCAUAAUUGAAAAAAAAAUAGUUUCAUGUAUCAAAAAGGAACAUAUUUAUCAAAAGAAAGAAACUCAAAAAUAGGAGUUAACAUUCCUAAGUUCCUAGUCUAACAUUUUUAGGCACAGUCGUAUCCAAGAAGCACCUUUAGGAACACCUAUUUUUUAUCUGAGAAUUGAUAGCAAAAGAACCCAUGGGCUGUCAAACUCAGGAAUUCAUUUCCUGAGCCCAAAAAACUUAUUCUUUUAAAGAAAUCAAGCAACAAGGUAGGUAAGCUUUUAGUUGUUGGAGAAUUAUGAGACAGAAAAGGAAGACAAAAAUGGAUCUUCCUCCUCCACUUUUCAGACUCAUCUGGAGCUGCCACACCAAGAUAGAGUCAUUCUAGCUCAAUGAGUUUAUAUGUCUGUUUCAUCUUCCAAAGAAGACAAGAAACUUUAAUUCUUCAUUGCCUCCUUGAACAUAAUUUGAGACGUAGGAAGUAGCAACCAAAAAAAAACAUAGGGUGUAACAAAUGGAAGGGUGUUUUUUGUAAUCAUUUGAGUGAUCAUCGGCAUCAAAGAGUAACAGAGAGCGGCAAACCACCCAUUGGAACUCCCUAAAGCUCUCUGCUUUUACACAGCCUCAGACUCAAACUAAUGAGAUAAGGCUCAGAUUCGCCUUUUCUCAGACAAAACCAAAAAGCUUUUAAAAAGACAGCGUCAUGGCUGCAAUCUUCAGUUAGAUUUAUGAGACAGAAAAGAAUACUUUCUCCUCCAUUCUCACCAGACCCAUCUGAACUGCCACGCCAAGAUACAAUUUUUUUCCAGCUCAAUGGAAAUAUAUGUCUGAUUCAUCUUCCAAAGAAGACAAAUUCUUUCAAAUCUUCAUAGCCUGACAGAUUGGGACUGAGGGGUAACAGCAAUUGGGAACAAAGGAAGGUCUAGUGGAAGUUCACCAAAAGGGUGGUUUUUUGCAAUCAUUUUGAGUGAUCAUCGGCAGCAGAGAAUAACAGAGUGGCAAAACCACCCAUUGAAACUCCCUAAUCCUCUGUGCUUUCACCGCCGCCUCAUACUUAAACUAAUGAGAUUUGUGCUAUUUUCAUGUCAAUGCUGCUUCUUAUAUUGUGCCCUAAUCAAUUGGGCCUUACUUGAAAAGCCCAUCUCGUCGGGUCGAAUUCAAUUGACCACAAUUGGAGGAAGAAGAUUAGGGCUUGUAGCCGUUGAUUAUACUCACCAGUCACCAGCAACGGCAACACUGAAUUUUCCGGUGGAAACAUAAAGAAAAAAGAUCAUAUUUGUGCAAAUUUCUGUAUGAAAAAAGAACAGUUCCAAAUUUCCAGAAGAAAGGGUUGUUUGGAAUUGUCACAGAGAGAAGCAAACCACCCUUCAAUGAAAAAUCCUUAAACUCUCUGUAAGCCUGAUUCUCUCCCUUCUGAGCUUUUUUUGCUUUCUUCAAUUAUCAAAAAGAGCUGGUUUUUGAUCGACUCUCCAUUCAAGUAAAGGAGAAUCAAUACUAUAAAAUAUUGGGAAGAAAAAAUAUUUUUAACAAGACAAAGAUUACAUUAUACUGUAUUAUUUUGAUGAAACACAAUAUUAAAUUUAGAAUGCCAUGCACCAACAAUACAAAGAAUAAAAACACAAGAUAACAGGUAAGAGUAAUUACAACAAAAGUAAAGCCUAAAAUGGGAUAUUACAAGUUCAAGCCCAAGAAAGUAUGCUCUUUGAUCCACCACUACUACUGACCGAGCUCAAAGUAGCUGUUACAAGUCAAACACUAUGAACUUGGAAAACAUAAUUAACAAAAAAAAAAAGUGAUCUAUCCACUGUUACUAUCCGCUUUUAGGUCCACGACUAUUAUCGACUCAAUCCCAAAGUAGGAAAAUAACAGACUAAAGCGAGGAGUUCAUUAGCCAUACAUAGUUAAGGAGGAGACAUUCCCCAUGCUGCGGUUCGGAAAGGUCUUCCCAAGCAGGUCACUGGGAGCUAAGACAGGCCAAUGUUUGACUCGUUGUCAAACUCAACGCAGAUAAGGGCAGACAGCAAAAUGGGGCAUCCAUCGGCAGAAGAGAUGUGAAAAAUCAACAAAACUAAAAGUAUAUGAGCAAUAUUUAUGACCAGAAAGAAUAUGUAAAUGAAAAAUAGCAACUCCUUUUGCCAUCUUGCAAAAAGGGAAAAGUAACAAAGAAAGGAAUUGUGAAUUACUGGUACUUAAUACAAGACUCAGAUCAGUUUAUCACAGCUUCCAUGGCUGCAACCUAGAGCAGGUUGCCCUGCGAAGUUGCUGAGUCUUAUCAUCUCAAUGCAAACAAAUAUUGCUAUUUGUCAAAAAAACAUAUCAUCACUGCCUCGAUUUUUCACUUCUUUUUUAUUGGAGCGUGAUUCUCGCUGUUUAUGUGUUAAUGCAGCCACAAAGCAGCACGGUGAGAACCAAUAGCAGUAAAAGAUAAUUAUUUAUGUGCAUCUUCUCAAGCUAGAGUUACAAGAAAGAGCUAGCCGCUGUUACUUACUUCCAGCAAGAUUUCACAUCUUGGCCUUACCAGCAAAACCGAAUCAAAAAAUAAAUUAUUCACAUUUCUCAUCAAUGAUGUCUCAUUUAACGAUUUCCCCAUCAAACAAUGUCCAGAAGAAUUACUGGCAAUUUUGACACUCGCAGCUGGCUACUAAUGAAUGGUCAAAGAGAGAGAGGAGACAACGCCAUAGCUGCAAAAGAACCAGUUGCAUGUGAUCGAGGAGUCUCAAAUCACAUACCAUCAUGGGUUUUUGCCAAGCCAAGAUACAGAUCUACUUGUCUGUAAACCCGAACAACCUUUUUUUAAGCCAAGAUAAGCAAAUAUCAUCUGCUUCGUUGAUUCUGGUAGCAUAGGAUUCGGGGAAUUUGAGAUGCUUUGGACCUGAGCUCAUAAAUCAGAAUGAGGUCCAACUACUGCUGCUGCUGCUGCUGAUGUUAAUGCUCCCUCUGUUUUCUAUAGUGAAGAAAGGAAAAGGACUAGAAGAGGGCUGUUGGUUUUGGUAAUGGAGAAAUGAUGCAAGAGGCUCAGAUUAUGUCUUCGGGCUUUGAGUUCUUUGUGCCCAGCCAUAGCUGCAAAUUUCCAGAAAUUCAGAUUGCCCCGCCACAGCAGCUACAGAACUCUUAUGCCCGACUCAAAGAGCUCAGCAAAACUAUCAUCAUAGCCUCAUUGUUUCCUCUUGCUGGCAUUAUGAACAUGUACUCUGUUUGCAUUGCAUUGAAACAGAGCCAGUGAGGACCGACAACCGAAACAUAUGCACAAUGCAUUAGAUACACAAGAAAUAUGCAUAUGCAUAAACAGUCGUCUAGUUAAAAAUAAAAGCAAAAAUAAGUCAGCAGAAUGUCAGAGAUGGCCAUCCACACGGAGAAGUUCAACACAAAGAGAAAUCACCAGAACGUCUGAGAUGGUCAUCCACACAGAGUAUCAUCUCUCACAGUAUUAUUAUUGUUUAUUUAUUUUCUUGUAUAUUUCGAAGUGCUGUUGGUCUUUUUGGUUAUCAAUGGAGAAAUCAUGGGCAGAGAGAGGGCAACCACCCUUUGCAGAAAAUCCCAAUCUCUCUGAUGCCUCGUUCUUCUUUCAUUCUAGGCUAUGCUUUGCUGAUACCGAACAAACAAGAUUAUACAGCAAGAUGAUUUAUAGCUUUUAGUAGAAAAUCGCAGGUUCAACAUAUCUCAAAAUUGAACCAUGGAAAUAUUCUUUCCCUAUCUUUCUUUUCAAGCAAAUGGGACUCAGAUGUAUGUUAUGACAAAAGCGAAACAUAAGCCAAUCACCGGUUGCAUGCAAGAGACACAAGCAGCAAUCACAAGCCAUACCGGGUCACCACACCAAGAUACAGAUUGGAUAAUCUCAAUGCACAAAUUGGUUAGGUGUUAACUUUUGGAAAACUUCAAGGACCAAAAUUGUUAAGUGCAUAUUUAAGGGACUAUUUUGGACAUACCCUCAAACAUAAAGAGAUUUGUCAUUUUCUCCCUAAUUCUGAAUUCAGAGCCGAAAUUUCAACACACGCAAUAGGUUUUCCAACCAGGGAAUAGACUCACCAUGGAAGAUCAUGAAAUGGGUUAUUCAGGGCUCAGAUUUGUUGUAUUUCUUAACAAAGAAAAGAGAAGAACGCCACAGCCAUGGAUGCAGACACCAGUUUGCUAUUCAAAGCCAUAACCGGGUCGCCCAGCUAAGAUGCAGGUUUUUCUCAAUGCUAUAUUGAACACAGCUUCAUAGCCCAAAAAGGAAAGUAAGCAAUCAUCAUAGCCCCCUUUACAACACCAGCAGCAGCAACAGCAUCACAAGAAGACGAGAGGAAGAACAACAAGAGUACAGAGGUGUGUUUGGAUGACAUUUUUUUCCCUUUUGUUUAUUUAAAAGGGCUGUUAUUUUUUGGUUAUCAAUGGAAAAAUCACUGGCAAAGCAGAGACGGGCAACCACCCUUUUACAGAAAAUCCCAAUUUCUCUGAUGCUUCAUUCUUCAAAGCUGAAAUUUCAUUUGAGGGCUCAGAAUUGCUAUAUCUGAACAAAGCAAAAGAGAGAAGUGAUGCCGCCAUGGAUGCAGACACCAGUUUGCUAUUCAAAGCCAUAACUGGGUCGCCCUGACGUCUACUGAAGCAUCUCUUGCUGCCCUAAACUGGCAACUGGGCUACAAAGAACCAUAUUAUCCUGCCUCAAUUUUCUAGUAUGAUUUUCUCUGUUGGUGUUCACACAGCCAUGUAGCAGCAAGAAAAGAGAACCAUCAGUAGCAGAACUGACUGAAUGAACAACUAAAUAAAUAAAUAAAUAAACAAUUCCCAUUUCUCAUUGAUGCCUCAUUUAUGAGCUGGCUUUCAAAAUAAGUGAAAACGGGUUUUCACCAAACAAUGUCCACAACUACUUGCAAUUUGAGGCUCAGAUCUGGGCUAUUAAUGGGGAAAAGAGAAAGAGACCACGCCAUGGCUGCAAAUAUCACGAAGCAACUGCAGUUCACCAAGCCAAGAUACGGGUCUGAUUGUCUUUAUCCUGAAGCCAGAUGAGCAAAUAUCAUACUGCCACUUUGAGAAAAUGGCUGCAUAAUUUCAAGAAAUUAGGAUACUUCGGAUUAAGCCUUAUUAACCAGAUUGAGGUCCAAGUACUACUACUACUAGCACUGUUAAUGCUUUGCUUAAAACUGGAGGCUCAGAUGUGUAUCUGGGGCAUUGAGUUUUCUGGCACCUGCCAUGGCUGCAACUCACAGAUAUUCAAGUUGCCAUGCCAAGAUACAGGCAACAAAAAUCUAAUGCACGAUUAUGUUUAGCUCAGCAUAGUGCAGACACUAUCAUCACAGCCCAAUUGUUUCCCUUUCCGAGUCCAUUGCUUUGGAACACAACCAGUGAGGACAAAGCUAAGAUGCUUGAAUUAAUAAGCACAAAUCCACAUGUACAAAUGCAGAAAUAUACAUAAACAAGGGUUCUCAGGUUUAGAGCAUAAAAAAAAUCAUUGGCAUGUUAAAGAUGGUCAUCCACAUCGAGAAUCCUUUGUGGUGGUGUAGUUGGUUAUCACGUCAUUCUUAACACAUAAAACUAAAGAAUACCAAUUCCAGAGUAAAUUACCAUUGAAAACUAUCAACGGUCGCAUAAAGAGGGUGUUAUUGAUCUCUCUCCGUCAAAGAAGGUCUCGUGUUCUAUUCCCAGGUUGUAAGGAAGGAAAUUUGGAAAAUGAGGCUCAGUCUCAAUUUUCUAUUGGGGUAAAGAUAAGGCAACCAUGCCAUGGAUGCAAAAUAACCAAUUGGAUUGUGAAAGAGAAGCCUAAAAUCACAGCCCUUGUUGGUGUUUGCCAAGCCAAGAUACAGGUCAGGAUGUCUCUAUGCCCAAAAGGAAAUGAGCACGGAAUUUAAAGUGGCCUCAAAAAAAGACCAUUUUUGUAAAUGCCGAUAAACAAUAAUCAUCACAGCCUCUUUCAGAUGAAGUUCACUCUUCCAUGGAUUUUAAGAAAUUGUAGAAAUUUUUGGACUAAAGAAUUCAAUAAUGCCUAAUGGCGAAGGCGCCAGAAUUUGCUGGGUUUCCUCGAGCUAAGGAAGAAUAAGAGGGUUGUUAGUUUUGUUAGUUAAGAAAUCAUAGGCCAAACAGAGGGGACACUGCCCUCCUAGAAGUCCCUUUUGCCCCAGUUGGCCUCAUCUUCCUUCUGGGCUCAAUCUCCAUUAUUACUUUUGUCGAGGAAAAAGCUUGUAGUUAUGCAACGUACUAAUAUCUAGAUUCUCUUUAGCCCUUCUUGCAGAGAUGUACCAUGCUAUUAUUUGUGGCUAUUUCGCUCGGAUUCAAAAACAUUGAAGGGUGUGUCGGAUACUCCAAAAAUAGUGUAUUUUCGGAGAAUCCAACAUGAGUGCAACGACAUUUUUGGAGAAUCCGAAGCAAUAGUAACAGCAGAAGCACAACGAGACAGAGGAAGAGCAAGAAGAAUAUAGAGGGGGUGUUUGGAAUUUGGAUGAAGUUUUUCAAUUUGCUUUCUUUUUGUUUAUUUGAGAAAGGGUUGUUGGGUUUUUUGGUCCAUUAAUGGAGAAGUCACUGGCACAGCAGAGAUUGGCAACCACCCUUCACAGAAAAUCCCAAUUUCUUCAACGCCUCAUUCUUCAAAGUUGCAAUUUCAAAGCAAACCAAAAAAAUGAUUUUCUACCCGAAUGGGUUAUUGAGGGCUCAGAUUUGCUGUAUUUGGACAAAGCAAAAGAGAAGAGCGACACCACCAUGGCUGCAGACACCAGUUAUCUAUUCAAAGCCCUAACCAGGUUGCCCUGCCAAGAUGCAGGUCGGAUAUUUUCUCAAUUUCCAUGAUUGAACAUAGCUCAGAAAGGAAGCAAUCAAUCAUUAUAGCCCCUUCAAAACAUUAUCAGCACAAAGAGAGGAGAAAGAGGAAGAGUAGUAUAGGGUGUGUUUGGUAUAAAGUUUUUAUUGUUGUUGUUGUUUAAUUCAAAGGGCUGUUGGGUUUUUUUGGUCCAUUUAUGGGGAAAUCACUGGCAACGCAGAGAUGGGCAACCACCCUUUACAGAAAUCCCAUUCUCUGACGCCUCAUUCUUCAGAGUUGAAAUUUCAUUGGAAAUCCGUAAUGGAUUUUCCGACCCGAAUGGGUUGGGGUAAAGGCUGCACAGACACCAUCUUCCCCCACACCACUUCCGGAUAUGUUGUUGUAGUAAUGGGUUAUUGAGGGCUCAGAUUUGCUGUACUUGAACAAGAGAAGAGUGACGCCGCCAUGGCUGCAGACACCAGUUUGCUCUUCAAAGCCUAACCAGGUCGCCAUGCCAAGAUACGGUAGGAUAUUUUCUCAAUUACCAUGAUUGAAUAUAACCCAGAAAAGAAGCAACAAUCAUCAUAGCCCCUUCACAACAUUAGCAGCACAAAGAGAGAAGAAAGAGGAAGAGCAAGAAGAGUAUAAGGUUGUGUUUGGUAUGAAGGUUUUUUGUUUUUUCUUGUUUAUUUCGAAGGGCUGUUGGUUUUUAUGGUCCAUUAACGGAGAAUUCACUGGCAUAGCAGAGAGGGGCAACCACCCUUUCAGAAAGUCCCAAUUUCUCAGAUGCCUCAUUCUUCUUCCUUUCUAGGCUAUGCUCAACUUAGCUUUUGUUUGCCAAGAACAAUAUCAUCACUGCCUCAAUUUCACAUUUUUCUAGUAUGAUUCUUGCUGUUUAGGUGUUCAUGCAGCCAUGCAGAAGCAAAAAAACGUGGGCUUACUACCAACACUGAAUGAAUGAAUAAUAAAUAAAAAGUUUGUGUUUCUCAUGAUGCCUCAUUGAGCUGGCUUUUAAAUAAGUGAAAUGGAUUUGGUUUCCACCAAACAAAUGUCUAGAACUACUUGCAAAUUUGUGGCUCAGAUCUGACCUAUUAAAGGGAGCAGAGAAAGAGAGCACGCCGCAGCUGCAAAAGUACCGGUUGCAUGUGAAAGAGAGGCCUUAAAUCACAUAGCAACUGGGGUUUGCCAAGGCAAGAUACGGGUCUGAUUGUCUUUAUUCCCAAAGCUCAGAUAAGCAAAUAUUAUCACUGCCGCUCCGAGAAAAUGGUUGCACAAUUUUCAAGAUAUUAGGAUAAUUUGAAUUAAGCUCAUAAAUCAGACAGAGGGCCCAAGUACUACUAUUACUAUGUUAAUGCUUUGCUCUCAGCUGGAGGCUCAGACUUGUAUCUGGAGCACUGGAAUUCCUGGAAACCUGCCAUGCCUACAAACAAAUACAGAUAUUCAAGUUGUCAUGCCAAGAUACAGGUUACAAAAAUCUAAUGCCUGUUGUAAUUUAGCUCCCUUUUUGAGAUCAUUGCUUUGGAACAGCCAGUGAAGACAAAUCACGACAACUGAGACAUAGACAUCUAAAUAUAUUUAUAUGCAGAAACAUUACAUAAAAGGUUGCCUGGUUUAGAGUGAAAAGAAAGCACCUGCAUGUCGAAGAUGCUUAUCCACUCUGAGAAUCAUCUGAUCCCCUAAAGCCUCAUUCAUUGAGCAGAAAUAAAGUUGUAGUUGGUUAUCACGUCAGUCUAACACAUAAAACUGAAGAACCCCAAAUCCAGAGAACGACCUUCAAUUGAAGACCCAAUCGAUGGUUGCACUAAAAUGAUGUUGUUAUCUCCUGUGAAAAGAAUUCCAGAGACUUACCACAUCAAGAGAAGGGAAAAUCCAACUUCUCUUUGAAACGAGGCAAAAUGAGUUUCCAUUAAAGAAGGUUGCGUGUUAGAUUACCAGGUCAGCGGGUCAUCAAAAGGAAAUUUAGAAAAUGAGGCUCAGAUCUCAGUUUCUGACGAGGCAAAGAGAAGACGACCAAGCCAUGGCUGCAAUCGAAUCAAUUGCAUGUGAAAGAGAAACCUCCAAUCACAGACCAUUCCGGUGUUUGCCAAGCCAAGAUACGGGCGGGAUGCCUCAAUGCCUGGAUGGAAAUGAGGAAAAAUUUAAAAUAGCGGUCCUAGAAAAUUGUCGUAAAUGGCCCAAUUAACAAGUAUCAGCACUGCCUCUUUCAGGAAAUGGCCUAAAUGACCCAUUUUCUCAAAGUUUGGUCAUUGGUGGCAUAUUUGAGUCUUCUCCUAUUAAAAAAUGAUUUAAUAAAUGAUAUGGCUGAAUACUAAUUGACCACGUGUAAUAAAUGGUUUUGCAAAACCAAAACUUUUUUCAAUUAACAUAGAAUGGCAUGGAUGAGCCUUUUCGUAAACGGAAAUGGCAGAGAUGAGCCAAACUUUUAAUGGAUAGCACAAAUGAGUCUUUUCUCAAAGUUCAAUGACAUAUUUGAUCCUUUUCCCUUUUUUAAAAAAGAGAAAGUUACCACACCAUGAUAAGCCCUAAUAAUAGUUUCCCAAUUGAUAAGACAAAGUGAGGCUCAGAUCAGUGUUAAGCUCGGGCAACAAGAGAGUCCAACAACAUCAUGGCUGCAACAACCACCAGAAAGUCUGGGAGCAUGCCCCGCCAAGAUACAGGCCGGAUGGUCUCAAAUGCCUGAUUAAUCAGCUCAGAAGGAUAUUAAAAAUUGACAAAAUCAUCAUUGCCUCUUUCAAGCCACGGGUUAUCCACAACAACACAGCUUCCAACACCAGCAUUCAAUGCUCCGGCAGAAGCAUUAGAGAAAAGAGAUGGCAUAGCAUGAAAGGGUAUAUAGAAACCAUUUGUAAUGAUAUGUAAACAACCAUCCAAACAAAUUGUUAAUAUUACUCCCUUCAUUAAAAUUGAUAAAAGGGUUGUUGGGGACUUGGCGUUCUUACAGUAAUGGAGAAAUCAUUGCCUGAUGCAGAGAGAGGCAACCACCCUUUCAAUGAAAAAUCCCAAAACUCUCUGUAGCCUCAUUCUUUCCCUUCGAAGCUUUUGCUUUGUUCAUUUAACUAAACCGAUGGAGAAAGUGAGGCUCAAAUCUUUGUCUUCCCUUUAGAAUGUCUCUUUCCUUUUUUGGCAACAUUUGACUUCUAACUUUCCACGUGACGCCUUUAAACCCACAAUAUUAAAAGGCAUCUAGGAACAUUCUACAUAUCUUAAGAUAAAGAUCUCCGGGUUGCCCCCGCUUAGAUACGGAUCCAAUUGCUCUACCGCACUAUUGAUUUGCUCAAAGGAAGAAGACAAUCUUCAUCACGGCUUCAGAAUUUUUUAAACAAUUAUUAUUAUAACUGGGUGUGAGAAUUUGGAGAGAACAAGCAAAGACUUAAGCGUCAUUUGGUCUCUGUUUAACUGCAACAAGAGCUGUUGAGUUUUUCUUUUUUCACAGCAACACUGAAAUCAAAAUCACAGUUAUUGCAGAGAGGAGCGACAGCCCUUUGAAGGGUUCCCCUCUACUCUCUCCAACCCUCAUUAUUCGUCUCUGAGCUAAGCUUUUUUUCCUUUAAAAGAGAAAUUCUCAUGUGUUUUUCGACCUGCGAAUUUCACAGCUGCAAUAACAACAACCCAGCGUUAUCUCACUCCUACCUUGUGGAGUUAACUAGAUUGUUUCCAAUACUGUACAAAUGAAACAUUGAGGCUCAGAUUUGUAAUACUUACAACAUGGCAAGAGAGACUGGAAUCACCGCCAGGGCUGCAAGCACCGGUUGCAAGGUAACCUGCCAUCCAGGUAGCCCGCCAAGAUAUGGGUCCAUUUCUUUCCUGUACUAUUGAUUUGCUCAGAGAAAGAAUAAAAUCAUCAUCAUAGCCUCAUAAUUUUCGCAACAACCAUUACUACUACUACUGAUUAUCCCUUUAAAGUUGAGAAAUUGGAGAGAACAAGCAUAUUGCUGUUUAACUGCAGAAGGGCUAUUAAAGAUUCUUUUUUUCACAACAAAAAUGAAAUCACAGGUAUUGCAGAGAGGAGCAACAGCCCUUUGAACUUUCCCUCUACUCUCCGCAACCCUCAUUUCCGUCUAUGACCUUUAACUUUUCUGGACUAAGCUUUAUUUCCUUUUAUGGGAAAUUUCACAGCUGCAUUUUAAAGAAAAACCAAUAAAGCUCAGAUCUGUAUUACUCACAAUACAGCAAAGAGAGCCUCAAAUCACCGCCAUGGCUGCAACCACCGGUUUCUAGGUCACCUUCUAUCCGGGUUGCCCCGCCAAGAUACGGGUCCGAAUGCUCUCCUGCACUAUCCAUUUGCUCAUCAGAGAAAAAAAAAACAGAGUACAUCAUCAUCACAGCCUCAGUUUUUCGCAACAAUUAUUAUUAUUAUUAUUAUUAUUAUUACUGUAUGAUUCUAGCAAAGGUGUCGUUAGGUCGGUAUUUAGCUGCAAAAAUGCUGCUGAAAUUAUCAUUUUUUCACAGCAAAAAUUGAAAUCACAGGCAUUGCAGAGAGGAAGCAGCACAGCCCUUUGAAGUUUUGUCUUCCACUCUCUGCAAAUCCUCAUUCUCUUUUCUCUGAGCUUUUUGGAUUUCUACUGUAACACCAUCUCCAACCAAAUCCUAUUUUAGUGUUGUGGACUUUCAACCCUUAUUAUGUUUUAUUACAUUUACACUAUUUAGACAUUGUAUCUGAGAUUAUAUUGUAUUAUUAAUUUAAAUAUAAUUAUUUUAUAUUUAUUAAUUAAUUAAAUUCAUCGUUAUAUAAAUAAUAAAAAAUCUAUUUUGCGUAACUAUCAUUUAUAUGAUAGUGUCUUUAUCUUAACAUUUUUUUUUAUUUUGUCUUUUACUUAUUAUUAAAAUAAUUUUAUUUUAUCGUUAUCAUAUAUUUUUAUAGCAAUUUAAUCUUGUACUCUAUAAUAUUUUUUUAAAUUUAUCAUUCAAAUUGUUUUAAAUAAUAAUAAAAAACAAUAUAAUUUAUUUAAAUAUUAUAUAAUAUAUAUUAAAAUAAUAUACUACAUUAUGAUACAAUACCAUGCAACAAAAUAAUAAGUAUUAAAUCAUGAUUCAUCUAUACUAUAUAUUUUUCACUUAUUAUUAUUAUUUGUAUUAUAUAAUAUUUUCAAAAAUAUAAAUAACAAUAUAAUAUUAAAAAGAGAAGAGUAUACUUAGAGACAAUAAAUAUUACUUUACUUUUUAGGGUAAAAUUUAAUGAAGAGAAUAGGAAGAUAAGCAACAUUACACCUUUAUUUGGAUGGUUAUAGUCUGAGAUAUUAUUAGUUUAAAUAUAAUAUUUAUUGAGAUUAUUAAUUUUAUAUUAUAUAACAUAAUAUAAUAUAAUAUAAUAUAUUAUAAAAUAAAUUCUUAUUCUUUUACCUUUUUUUUUGUGUGUUUUUAAAAAAAAUGAAAUAUUUCUUUUUCUUAUCACUUUAAUUUUAAUUUUUACAUGAAAUAUUUAACAUUACAAAGUUAAAAAUCGUUUUAAUAUAUUUGACAUAACUUUAAUUUAAAAUAACAAAAUUAAAUUUAUUUUUUUUUAAUCUUCAUUCCAAGUCAAAAGUCAUCCUUUUUUUUUUUUGAAGGAAGGUGGUAAUAAUCAUCUAAAAACAAAGUGGUCAUGGCUCGUGUGUGAUUGUUUUGAAAUUAGUUAUUUUGAAAUUGUUAUCCUACUUUUCAUAUGAAAUGUAAUAAUUAUUAUAGUUCCAAAGCAAUUUAUUUGCAAUUUGAUUUGAAUCCAACAUUUUGGUUAAGAAUUAACAGGUAAGUGAAGUGUUGAUUUAUUUCAAAGGUUAGACUUGUUGAUAUUUAUGGUUCAUAUUAACUAUAGUAGUUGUUCAGAUUAUAAGCAAAUUUUGGCUCGUGAUUUGCUAAGCCAAGUUAAUCUUCAUCAUCUCAACCCAGUUUUCUGGGAAUCCGAAGAGAUCACGGCCUCAAAUUUUAUGGAUUAAAAAUGAGAAAAUACAAACAAACAAAGACGAGUUUUGAAUGAAAUAUCAAUUUCCAGCAGAAGUUUUGUAUGAAUCCAAAAGUUAUUCAUUAUGAAUUUAGAGGCUCAGAUCUGCAAAAGAAAUCGAGGUAGAAGAGAGCCGACCACGCCAUGGCUGCAAAAUUUGCCAAGCCAAGAUACGGGUCGUAUAAUCUUCAUACCCGACCCGAUUAGCCCAGAAUCCAAAGAAAUCAUUAUCUUCAUCAUCGCCUCUCAUUAUUUGGAUAAAAAAAAACACAGAAGAAACAGAGUUUGUAACCAUAGUUGUUGAAGUUGAAGAAAAGGUUUAAUUUUCCAUGUUCAAUAAUUCAGUCAUUUCCCAGAAACACAUGCAUGUGUCCAAAAGGCUCAGAUCUGCAAAGAGAUCGGAACAAAGAGAGAGACGACCACGCCAUGGCUGCAAAAUUUGCCAAGCCAAGAUACGAGUCGCAUAAUCUCCAAGCCCGAUCCGGUUAGCCCAUCAUCAUCAUCAUCACAGCCUCAAUAGAUCAAACACCAACAAAGAGUGAGUAAUUAAUUAACAAAAAAGAGAAUGGCAUAGAUGUAGAAUUGGAAAGUUGAGGAAUAUAUGUAUGUUUGUUGUAUGUAUGUAUGUAUGGCAUGCAUGUUCCAAUAAUUCCCAGGAAAUUAACAUGAAUUCAAGGGUUGUUGCUUCAUCUCUAAAAGAAUCAUUCAUAGGCUAAACAAGAGAGGGGCAACCACCCUUGUUAAUAAAAUCCAAAAACUCUCUGUUUUGCCUCUUUUUUCUUUUCUGGGCUAACCUUUUCUUUGCUUCUUUUCCACCUUUAACUUUUGCCUUUUUUAUAACCCACUCUUGAAUAAAUUUAUCAUUUUUCUGUAUGUCUAAUGGAUAAUACUUUAUUUGAAAAUGUAAAAGCACAAACAACUUGUCAUUCUUAUCCAUUUCUCCUUGAAACAGAAUUUACGAAAAUAAAAAAAAUUUAAUAUCGUAAUUUCAAAUUAAAUUAUAUUAAAUAUAACAAAAUAUUCAUUAAUCUUAUAAUUUUGAACAUGCUACGUAAAAAUUAAAACUAAAAUAAGCAUCAUUUUUUUUAAAUGGAUAAAGUAUUUAAUUUAUAGCAUUAUUUAAAGUACUGAUGAAAAAUCUCUCACUUUGUAUAACAGUUAAUUUGAUAUAAUCAUUUUAUUAUUUUCUUCUCAAUUUAUCUCACUUAUUAUUUGGUAAAUUCUGUUUUCAUAGAAGCUCUAUGUCAUCACCUAUUUUCUUCAUUCGUUAUUGAUAUGUGAAAUUAUAUAACAAUAAAUAAUAUAAUUAUCUGGUUAUUGUAUUCAUUAUGUUAUACUUGCUUCGUUUAUUUUUAGUUGUUAUUUAUUUUUAAAAUAAAUUUUCAUUUUUAUUUAUUACUUUUGAUAUUUCAAGAAAAGGGAACAACUUUUUUUUGUGUUUUAAUCUCAACAUUAGAAAUAUAUUUUAUAAAAUUAUUUUUCAAAACAUUAUUAAAUCAAAAAUUAAAACUAAAGGAGAGAGCACUUAUUUCCAACAAUUUAUUGUGGUCUUGAGUGAACUCUUUAGAGGAUUACACCAAAAACUUCUUGAUUUUAUCAAAAAUUUGGUUCAAAUUUCAAGUAAAUGUCUGACUCAAUGGGGAAACCCAUUAAUAUUCUUGUUACUUUUUAGGUAAAGGGUAACUUUCGAGGUAGCAUUUCACUAUAAUUCGAUAUUUUCUUGAUCCAUUGUUUUGAUUUUUUAUUCCGUAUUCUCCGUUGUUUACUAUACUAUCGAUAUUUAUUCAUUUUAUAAAUAUCACCUUUUAAUCUCUCAUUUUACACUAUGCUUAGGUCAAUCAAUUCAUUAUCACUCAUUGAUAUUACUCAUAUUUGGUAAACAAUUCAUAGGAAGUGGACAUUUGAUUCAGUAAGUAGAAAGUGAAAUGCUCAACCAGUAAUGAGAUUUGCAUAUCCAUUUCUGAUGAAAGGAAAUGUAAAAUCAGUAGUAAAAAAUUUAGCUUUGAAAUUUAUAGAAAAUUGUAAAAUCAUUCAAAAUCAACAAGUCAAAAUUAUUCAUUUAAUUAGUUAAACAAUUUUGUUCUGAUGGUAAAUUUAUAAACCCAUCUUAGAGAUUAGAUUCCUAUUUUUAUUUAUACUAUUCUCAAACUUUGAAUUAUUUUCCAUCAUUAAAGAGUGAAUUAACCUGAAUCUGAAUGAUGUUAUUAGAGGCUCAGAUCUGCAAAAUCACUGUAUUAGUCCAGAACUCAAACAAAUCAUCAUCACUGCCUCUAUUGUUUAUGGAUCAAAGAUGAAACAAACACAGGUAUAAUUGGUACAUUUUUCCAAUUUCAACGAUGAAUCAAAAAGUUUGUAUAAUUAGAGGCUCAGAUGUGCAAAGAGAUCGAGGCAAAGAGAGAGGCGACCACGCCAUGGCUGCAAAAUCAGUGUGAUUUGCCAAGCCAAGAUACGGAUCAUAUAAUCUCAAUGCCUGAUGCGGUUAGCCCAGAAUCAUCAUCACUAUCAUCACUGCCUCAAUUGUUUGGAUCAAAGCUGAGAAAAUAAAACCAACAUAGAGAGAGUACAAAAACAGAAAGCCAGCCAGAAUAAUAAUUGCUAUAUAUAUAUAUAUAGUAGUAGUAGUACGUAUGUAUGUAUGUUUUCCUGGUUACAAUGAUUCAAUUAAUUUCCAGGAAAUUAAUAAGAAUCCAAGGGUUGUUGCUUCAUCUAUCUGGAAAAAAUCAUUGGUUAAACAAGAGAGGGGCAACCACCCUUGUAAUGAAAAUCCCAAAACUCUCUGUUUAGCCUUUCUGGGCUAACCUCUUCUUUGCCACUAUUUUCACUUGGCAGUUUUCUUGUGGUUUAUAUAACCCAAAAACUGUUCUAUGGAAGAAUCUAGAGGCAAUUUUUCAGACAUUUGGACCAAAUUUCAAGUAAAUGACUGACACCAUGUGGGACAUGUGUCCGUCAUUAAUAUUUUUCUCCCUCGUUGCUCAUUUUCCCAAAAGAGGUAAAUAAUUUCUUUAAUUUAACACUAGCACAAAGAGCAAAAAAUAAUCAAACCAAAACGGCAAUAUUUGAAUGGAAAAAAAAUGUUAGGUGUUGAUCACAAACUCGAUGACCAAGCACUUACGUGUUGAUUUCAUUGAAUCCUUCACCUGGACUCCAGUGUCUACAUCUUGUACAACUGCUUCCAAGGGACGAUCUCCCAGCCAAGGCAGCAACAAAGAGCAAAAAAUUUAGAAGAUAUGCACAAAGUUCAUUAAAACCAUGAGACAAAAAAAAAAAGUUUUAGACAGUACCAUUCAGCCAUGAUUCUUCCAACUUCAAGCUAAGUACUGCAAUGGAUGAGGAAGGCAACCACCAUCACAAAAAUCCCACAUUUCACUCAAAUGCCUCAUUCUUGAGCUAUUACGGAUAAAAGAUUGGCAACACAUUACGAGGGAACAGCAAUAUAACUUGUAUGCAAAAAGGUUCCAUAUACAAGCAAAAAAAAAAUAUACUUUCUUUAGCAAAAGGAGGCUCAGAUACAUGUAUGAUAAGGCAAAAGAGAAGUCAACCACGCCAUGGCUGCAAAACAUUGGUUGCGUGUGUGAGAAGAAAACUCUUAUCACAGGUAGCAUAAUGCCAGGUAGACACUUUUAGCGAUCACACCCAUACUGGAUUGCCACGCCAAGAUACGGAUUGGAUCGUCUCCAUGCCCAACUGGAUAGACCAGAGUUAAAAAAAGUUAUCAUCACUGCCUUUUUAUGAGUUUCCAAAGCCAUAAAGGACACAGACUGAAGAAACAAGGAAACUGAAGUAGUAUAGUUUUGUGUUUGGUUUUUGAGUAUGUAUAUCACAACAACAGGACCCAAAGAAACCAAGAAACUGAAGUGGAAUAUAUUUUCUCUUUUUUCUUUUCUUAAGGGCUGUUGGUUUGUUGAGAAGGGUAGAAUCAUAGGCAAAGUAGAGAGGGGCAACCACCCUUGAAAGAAAUCCCAUACUCUCUGCUGCCUCAUACUCGUCAUUCCUGCUAAAAGAAGGAAGUUCGUUUAGAUUAGAGCUUCUAACUGACGAGACGUCACAAGUCUGCAUUUAAGAGAAUUUAACUGCAAUAAUGUCCAAAUGCCUACUUAUGUUCUUCAACAAAUUGUGGCUCAGAUGUAUGUAAUGAUAUGGCAAAAGAGAAGCCAGUCUCGCCAUGGCUGCAAAACACCGACUGCAUGAGAGAAAGAGAGAAGUUCUCAACAGGCCAAACCGGGUUGCCACGCCAAGAUACGGGUCGGUUCAUCUCAAUGUUCCAUGAUCAGCCCAGAACUAGAAGAUACAUAAGCAUCAUCAUUAGCCCCUUUCUGUAGCAGAAUGCAUCGUAAUGGAACACUUUCCAGUUUUACACUAACAAUAAGAGAAAACGGGAAGAAAUAUGCAAAGAGCUAAGAGAAGAGAGACUGAAGAUCUGAAGGCGGCCUAAUUGUUGUGGUAAACUUGAAAAUUGGGGAAAUUUCAUCCAGAAAACCAGAGACUGAAGUACUAUGUUGCUCUUUUUUUCUCUUAAAGGCUGUUGGUUUGUUGAGAAGGGGAGAAUCAUAGGCAAAGCAGACAGGGGCAACCACCCUUGAAAGAAAUCCCAUACUCUCUCUGCAGCCUCAUUCUCUCUAUUUCUGGGCAAACCUAAUAGAUGGAAUUUGCUUGUAUGAGAGCUUAAAACGAGAAGACCUCAAUAUCUCCCACUUUGAUCAUGGAAAAGAUAUUGCCCCUUAUGCAUAGUAAAGGGGCAAAUUUGAUCAUUUUCCCUUUUUUUCUUUAGCAAAUUGAGGCUCAGAUUUGUGUAAUGACGAGGAAAAAGAGAAGCCAGCCAUGCCAUGGCUGCAACGCACGAUUGCAUGUGUGAGUUAUGCGUCUCAAUUACAGGCCAUACCGUGUUGUCAUGCCAAGGUACGGGUUGGGUACUCUCCAUGCCCGAAAUCUUGCUAGCCCAGAAAUCAUCACUGCCUCUUUAAUAGUUUUCAUAGUCAUUUUAUAGUUGUAGUAUAGUUGUGUAUACAUAUGUCUUAAGGGUGGUGCAAACUGCAAAUAAACCCAGAAACUCAAUUGUACUCUCUCUGUCUCUUUCUUUUGAAGGGCUGUUGGUUUGUUUUGAGAAAUGGAGAAUCAUAAGCAAAGCAUAGAGAGAAGGCCAACCACCCUUGAUAGAAAUCCCAUACUCUCUGCUGCCUCAUUCUUGCCUUUUAUAGGCUGACCUAACAAAAGGGAAUUCACAAGACUUCAAGCAUCUUUCGGCUAAUUCUUUCUCCUGAGGCUCAGAUUUGUUAUAAAACCAGAGAAAAGGAGACAAAGCAAUCGCCAUGGCUGGAGACCUCAGUUGUUAAGUGGAAUACCUUUACUGGGUAGCCCCGCCAAGAUACGUGCAGCUCCAAUGCCCAACCCAACUCUAUACAACUUCAUUUGUUAUUAUCACAGCCUCAUCCUAUAAUUAAAAGCUAGCAAGGGUACAUAGACCAUACCCCGAUCCUUUGUGGGGGACUAGAGAAGUUGUUUCCAACAGAGCUCAGCUCAAGAAAAUUACAGUCCAGAACCUAAAUGAUGGAAGAAAGAAAACAACAGAAACUAGUGUGUAAUUCAUCUCUCUCUUUCUCUAUUUUAAGGGCUGUUGGUUUGUUCAAAAAUGUAAGAAUCAUAGGCAAAGCAGAGAGAAGGGCAACCACCCUCUAAUAGAAAUCCCAUUACUGUCUCUGCUGCCUCAUUAGGGGCUAACCAAUCAAAAAGGGGCUCACAAGUAAUUACUUGCAAAAACGAAACAGGUCUUUUCCUUGAGGCUCAGAUCUGUGAGAUAAAAUCAAGCAAAAAGGAGACAAAAGCAACCACCAUGGCUGCAGAUCUCACUUUGCAAAACAAUGGAAAUGCCUUACCGGAUCGCCCAGCCAAGAUAUGUGCAAGCUCCAACAGGCCCGACCCAACACUAGACAACUUCAUUUGUCAUCAUCACAGCCUCAUAGGAAGGAGGAGACAGUAUACUUUAUAGCCCAACAGCACAUAAUAUAAGCCAGAAACCCAAAAACGCUCGAAAUACAUGUGAUUAGACCUUUUUCAACUAUGGUGGUUUUGGUGAAAUUUUGAAAAGGAAAUCAUCAGCGGAAGAACAGAGAGAGGACAACCACCAUUAAAGACUCCCCAAUGCCUCUCCGUUGCCUCGUUUGUUCGUCUAGAGUUGCAGAACACACUUACAUUAGGUCAUUUUUUGCCCAACUGCCUAAACAGUCUUUUAGCUUAAGAGGAAAAAAAUGUUUGAUUCUUCUUGCACAAACAACAAUCUUCAUUGACUCUAAAAAGUGGAACAGAGGGAGUAAUAAAUCAAUCAAUUAAGGGUGGUUUUGCAAUUGGAAACACUUCUAUUUGAAAGAUCAUUGGCAGCAGAGAAUGACAGAGAGGGGCAAAACCACCCAUGGAAACUCCCGACAGCUCUGUUUUAACCGCAACCUCAGAUUUAUACAAAGAUGAGUUCCCCAAAAAUGAGGCUCAGGUCUGUUACAUUCAGGGCAAAAAGAGAUCCAACGAUGCCAUGGCUGCAAAAAUCACCACAAAAUCUGGGGUUAUGCCCAGCCAAGAUAUGAGCCGGAUAAUCUCAAAUGUUCGAUUAAUAAGCUCAUAAGGAAAUGAAAGGUUGCUAAAAUCAUCAUUGCCUGUGUAAAUCCAUCAAUUAUACUAGCAUAACUUGUAUUUAAACCGAACGAAUCAAUAACAACUAGCUUGGAUGGUUAUUUCCCUAUUGUUACUUUAGAUAACGGGACCACAUAUUAUAGGUCUUCCAAAAAUAAAUUAUAUCGAUAUCAGUCAUUUUUUCCACUGGGCAGCAGAAAAUAUUAUUUGAGAAAGCAUAUUAAUUUAUAGAGUACCAAUUUAGAGAGGUUUUUACUGUAGUUUAUAUUCUCGGAGUCUUCCAAAUAGAGAGCAUCUUAGUAGUAAGUAUUUUAACUUCUCCUGAAAAGGGUAUGAAUUCAAUCUCCCACAUUUAUCAUGGAAUAUAUAUUGCCCCUUAUGCAUGGUGAAGUGGUAAAUUUGACCCUUUUCCCUAUUUUCUCAAGCAAAUUGAGACUCAGAUUUGUGUUCUGAUAAGGCAGAAGAGAAGUCAACCACGCCAUGGCUGCAACACACGAUUGCAUGAGCGAGUUAUGGGUCUCAAUUACAGGCCAUAUCGGGUUGCCACACCAAGAUACGCGGUGGGUAAUUUCCAUGCCCGAAAUUUAGAUAGCCCAGAAAUCAUCACUGUCUCUCUAAUAGUUUUCAUAGUCAUGCGGUUCUUUUAGUAUAGUUGUGGCAUUGCCUUGUGAAAGAAACCAUGAAACUCAAGUGUAUCACUGUCUCUUUCUUUUUUUAAGGGAAGUUGGUUUGUUUUGAGAAAUGGAGAAUCAUAGGCAAAGCAUAGAGAGAAGGGCAACCACCCUUGAUAAAAAUCCCAUACUCUCUAUUGCCUCAUUCUUGAUCUUGCCUUUUUUAGGCUAACCUAACAAAAGGUAAUUCACAAGACUUCAAGGUCUUUCAGCCUUUCUCCUGAGGCUCAGAUUCAUUAUAAAACUAGGCAAAAGGAGACAAACCAACCGCCAUGGCUGCAAAACAGAAUGCCUUUCUGGCUACCACACCAAGAUACGUGCAGCUCCAAUGCUCAACCCAACUCUGUACAACUUCAUUUGUUAUCAUCACAGCCUCAUCCUAUAAUUAAAAGCUAGCAAUGGUACCCUGGUCCUUUUUGGGGACUAGAGAAGUUUCCAAUAGACUCAGCUCAAUAAAAUCACCACGCAGAACCUAAAUGACUGGAAUAAAAAACAACAGAAACUAGUGUGAUCCAUCUUUUUCUCUUUUUCUAUUUUAAGGGCUGUUGGUUUGUUUAGAAAAUGGAAGAAUCAUAAGCAAAACAGAGAGAAGGGCAACACCCUUGAUUAGAAAUCCCGUAACUCUCUCUGCUGCCUCAUUCUGAGCUAAUCUAACAAAAAAGGGUUCACAAAUAAUUACUGAAAUGAUUUUUUCUUUUGAGACUCAGAUCUAUAAGAUAAAAUCAAGCACAAAGAGACAAAGCAAUCGCCAUGGCUGCAGACCUCAGUUUGCAAAACAAUGAAAAUGCCUUACCGGGUCGCCCCGCCAAGAUACGUGCAGCUGCAAUACCUGACCAAAAUCCAUUUGUCAUCAUUACAGCAUCAACAAGUGAAGAAGCAGAAGCAGUUUCCAAAAGGGUCUUUUUCUAUAGGUUCGGAUCUGCAACACAAGAUCGAGGGAAAAAGGAGACAAAGCAACCACCAUGGCUGCAGACCUCAGUUAGCAAAACAAUGGCUCCAAUAUGCCUGACCCAACUCUAGAAAACUUCAUUUGUCAUCAUUACAGCCUGAACAAGGAGUAGUAGUAUAGUGCGCCUAAAUUCAGUUAAUAUGGAGUAUAAUUUUAGCUAAACACCACACAAUUUAAGCCAAUCCAAACAAACCAUCAGCUGAAGAACAGCGAGAGGGCAACCACCAUUAAUAACUCCCCAAUGCCUCUCUCGUCGUCCAGAGUUUCAUUAACACAAACUUUGAUUUAGUACAUGUAGUAUCUUCCUGUUACAUUUCUACUUAGUCACAUUUCUAUUUUAAAAGUAUACCUAAUAAGUUUGAUAAUGCAUAUUUUCACUCUUAGAAUUCAUAGUUAGCAAAUAGAUAUAGCAAUUGUUCGGAGCUCAUUAAUAAUCAUCAGGUGUUGUAACUGAGAGCGUGUUUGUCUUUCUUUUGUUCAUAGUUUGAUAUUCUGAACAGUAAACAGAUAUCUUUUAUAAUGAGGUAGGAAGAAGGGGUGGAGUGUAGUAUGGUCAAGUGGCGGAAAUAUUGGAAGGAGACGAUCAACUUGAAAUAUUUUUUAUAAAACUUGUUUUCCCUACUUCCGUUAGAGAAUUGACUUGCUUCCAUUUUCUUUGAUAAAAUUAGCCUUGGUCACUACCUACAAGCUAUCUGUGUUCUUUGAUAAGAGAGCGAGUUGAGCUGAGGUUUUUACGGAUGAAGAACACCUGAAUCAGUAAGCUAGAGAGUAACAACUUGAAGAUUACUACACUAAGAACAGCUUGGUUCUAUUCAUCGGUUAAAUAACUUAGCAUGACAGCCUAGACACGACUAUUUACCGGUGAGCAAGGAACGAAUGCCACCAUUUCCAUGAUAACAUAAAACUAUUAACAUUCAUAUAUUGCUAAAAACUGCCCAUCACAAUGCUGCCUAAUUCAUAUUCUCCAGUGUUCUACUCUCGACGAAUUAUUCUCAGUUGAGUAAUCAACUAGGCUCAGAUAUGUCACGAAAUCGGGAAAAUGAAAGGGAUACCGCCAUAGCUGCAAACCAGAAUAGCAUACAACAACAAUCUAGUUGGAUAAGCUAAAUGAAUUCCUAAUAUCUCUUCCACUCAAUCACGUCCCAAUAGUCGUUGCACCAUUUAAAACACAGUUUAGUUAUCCUUACCAAGAUUUGGGUUUGAGCUGAGCAAAACCCGAUUAACUCAAUAAGCUCUAUAUCAUCACAGCCUACAGAUAAGCAGAAACAUAAGUAAUGAUGCUUACUUGCUGCAAACAGAGCUAGUAUUGACUGAGGAAAAAGGUACUGCAAAGCAAAUUGGACUUCAUUAAGGCUCAGAUAAGUAUAAUCGAGGCGAAGGAGACAAUGCACCCCCCAUGGCUGCAGACCUCAGUUGCACUACACAUAGGCCUACCGGGUUGCCAGGCCAAGAUACAGGUCCAGCUCCCUUGCCCCAUUAACUCCAAACACCUUAAUCUUAAUCAUCACAGCCUCUCAUCCGUAACAAAGUGGUAGGGUUGGAGAAGGUGAAAAUGACGACGACGAUGAAUGACGAUGAGUAAAACGAAGAACCAAAAGAGUCAGAUCUUAAACCUGAACCCUUCUUCCUGUAUAUUGUAUAUAUAUAGAGAGAGAGAGAGAUGAACAAUUAAUGUGUGUAUAUACACAUACUGCAGAAACUUCCGAGUUUAAGGCUCAGAUCUGUAUAAUCAGAGCAAAGGAGACAAUGCAUCCGCCAUGGCUGCAGACCUCGGUUUCACUGCCAAAAUGUCUACCGGGUUGCCCCGCCAAGAUACGGACCCUGCUCCUUUGACCCUAUGAACUCUAGACACCUUAAUCAUCAUAGCCUAUCUUCCCUUCCAUUACAACAACAAAAAUAAUAAUAAUAAUAAUAAUAACAACAACAACUUCAACCAUCGCGAAAACCCUUUUCAAGGAUUCACAGAUGAUGAUGAUGAUGAUGAGGAAAAAGAAGAAGAAGAAGAAACGGUAAAAGGGUCAAAUCUUAAACCCUAAACCUUCCUUCAAGUAUGAGAAUAUAUAUAUAUAUAUAGAUACAUAGAUGUACAUGUGUGUACACAUACACACUGCAAAAACUUGCGAUUUUUCAUCGGAAGUUUCAAUACAGCAGCAAAACCAAAGGACCCUUAAACAUAAAUGAUGGUUUGUUUGAAGUUUGCUUCGCGAAAAUGGAAAAAUCACCGGCAAACAGAGAGAGGGCAACCACCAUUAAAACUCCCCAAAUACCUCUCUGUUAGCCUCACUUUUUUUCUGUCUAGAGUUCAU